rnacentral:rRNA from 1 species
AGUGAACGCUGGCGGUAGGCCUAACACAUGCAAGUCGAACGGCAGCACAGUAAGAGCUUGCUCUUACGGGUGGCGAGUGGCGGACGGGUGAGGAAUACAUCGGAAUCUACUUUUUCGUGGGGGCUAACGUAGGGAAACUUACGCUAAUACCGCAUACGACCUACGGGUGAAAGCAGGGGAUCUUCGGACCUUGCGCGAUUGAAUGAGCCGAUGUCGGAUUAGCUAGUUGGCGGGGUAAAGGCCCACCAAGGCGACGAUCCGUAGCUGGUCUGAGAGGAUGAUCAGACACACUGGAACUGAGACACGGUCCAGACUCCUACGGGAGGCAGCAGUGGGGAAUAUUGGACAAUGGGCGCAAGCCUGAUCCAGCCAUACCGCGUGGGUGAAGAAGGCCUUCGGGUUGGAAAGCCCUUUUGUUGGGAAAGAAAAGCAGCAGGUUAAUACCCCGCUGUUCUGACGGUACCCAAAGAAUAAGCACCGGCUAACUUCGUG